AGUUUGAUCAUGGCUCAGGAUGAACGCUAGCGGCAGGCUUAAUACAUGCAAGUCGUGGGCAGCAGGUUUGUAGCAAUACAGAUGCUGGCGACCGGCAAACGGGUGCGGAACACGUACAGAACCUUCCUUUGAGCGGGGAAUAGCCCAGAGAAAUUUGGAUUAAUACCCCAUAGUAUAAUGAAGUGGCAUCACUUUAUUAUUAAAGAUUUAUCACUCGAAGAUGGCUGUGCGGCUGAUUAGGUAGUUGGCGGGGUAAAGGCCCACCAAGCCUGCGAUCAGUAACUGGUGUGAGAGCACGACCAGUCACACGGGCACUGAGACACGGGCCCGACUCCUACGGGAGGCAGCAGUAAGGAAUAUUGGUCAAUGGAGGCAACUCUGAACCAGCCAUGCCGCGUGGAGGAUGAAGGUCCUCCUGGAUUGUAAACUUCUUUUAUAUGGGACGAAAAAAGGCUUUUCUAAGUCGUCUGACGGUACCAUAUGAAUAAGCACCGGCUAACUCCGUG
rnacentral:rRNA from 1 species